rnacentral:rRNA from 1 species
GAUGAACGCUGGCGGCGUGCCUAAUACAUGCAAGUCGAGCGAACGGACGAGAAUCUUGCUUUUCUGAUGUUAGCGGCGGACGGGUGAGUAACACGUGGAUAACCUACCUAUAAGACUGGUAUAACUUCGGGAAACCGGAGCUAAUACCGUAUAAUAUUUUGAACCGCAUUGUUCCAAAGUGAAAGACGGUCUUUCUGUCACUUAUAGCUGGAUCCGCGCUUCAUUAGCUAGUUGGUAAGGUAACGGCCUACCAAGGCAACGAUGCAUAGCCGACCUGAGAGGGUGAUCGGCCACACUGGAAGUGAGACACGGACCAGACUCCUGAGGGAGGCAGCAGUAGGGAAUCUUCCGCAAUGGGCGAAAGCAUGACGGAGCAAGGCCGAGUGAGUGAUGAAGGUCUUCGGAUCGUAAAAAUCUGUUAUUAGGGAAGAACAUAUGUGUAAGUAACUGUGCACAUCUUGACGGUAACUAAUCAGAAAGCCACGGCUAACUACGUG